AACAGGCUAAUUUGCGCAAGAGAGUACAAAUUGAGUGCGCGGUUUGGCACCUCGAUGUCGGCUUAGCUCAUCCACAUGAAUGUAGAAAUCAUGAAGGGUACGACUGUUCGUCGGUUAAAGAGCUACACGAGCUGGGUUUAAUACGUCGUGAGACAGUAU
rnacentral:ncRNA from 1 species